rnacentral:lncRNA from 1 species
GCAGGUGUGGAGCAUAGCUAGCUGGCCGUGGGGUCUGCUGGACUCCGAGAUGACUGAGCGUGGGGUGACAACCCCUUUGUAGCCAGGGUCCUAGAGUACUCAGAUGGCCGCCUGUGGGGACUUGCCCGGGGGCUAAGGCUAGGCUCCUAAAAGCAGCAGGGGCUGCAACCUGGGUCCCUUUGUGGGGAGGAUUUAGGGAAAUGGUCUGUAGGUUGGGGGGCUGCUUGUCUGUGGCUGAGAUCCCACCCACCGGCCAGGAGCCAGAAGGACUUGAACUGACCAUCACCGGCGCCACAGGUAGAGUGGCCCAACUGCUCGUGCUCAAACUCUUCAGGGAUAGUCCUGCCUGUCCUUCACAGACCUGCCCUCCCAAGGACCCCUUCAGGAUACUCUGCUAUGGAUCAAGGAGCGGCACUUGCUCCCACCCUGGCUCCAGGAAGUUCCCCAAAGUGCUCUGGGCAGUACCUUUAGUCUGAACGGUUGCAGGUCUCCGGGGAGCUUGUGUGCAGGCCAGGUUGAUGUCACCCACCCAGGGUAUCACAGCCAGCAAAAGCCUGUGCUUAAGGAGCCUGCGAUGUAGAGCCUGUCUCUUGCGUCUCUGCUUAUUCUGGGGCACCUUCAACACAGGCUGUAUAUCAUGCUGUUUCUUCUGAGGGGAGGAAUAGGCUGCCUCAGGUCUCAGAUACCCAGGCAUAUAGGUAACAGAGAAACAGGACACCCUAUGGAGAAGUUCCUUAAGGAAGAACACCUCCAGGGACAGAGCACACUGGGGCUGAGGUAUGCUUUCCCUCUGUCCUUGGCCGACCCCUGUGAAAGGUUCAUUCAACAACCUCCCUACCAAGGGCUUGAGACCCACACGGUGAGACCCACACGGUGAGGCCCACACGGUGAGGCCCACACGGUGAGAACCACAUGGUGAGACCCACACGGUGAGACCCACACGGUGAGACCCACACGGUGAGACCCACACGGUGAGAACCACUGCUGUAAGGCGCCUUGUGAAGAAGGGAGAGAAGAGCCGUUGAUUAGUGCAUCUGACUAGGGACUUGCAUUUUGAACAUGUAAAAGCCAGUAAUCCAAAGACAGGUAAUUUAAACCUAGGAAGGGACUUGACAGGUGUUUUUCCAAAGAGAUGUACACAUGUAAGAAGCCAGCAGGUACAAGCAAUUGUACACACGGUUAGCCAUGAGGGGCUGCUGUGAGACAACUGUGUCAAAGUCUAUUCCACAAACACGUGGACGGCUUCAGCCACAAGCCUCACAUGCUGCUUGUGGGAGCACAAUAUAGAGACAUUUUGCACAGAUGACAGUUCUUCCAAAGGCCAAGCACAAGAGUCACCGACCCAAAGACGCUCUUGAGAGAAAUGAGCAU